rnacentral:rRNA from 1 species
GAUGAACGCUGGCGGCGUGCCUAAUACAUGCAAGUCGAGCGAACAGACGAGGAGCUUGCUCCUCUGACGUUAGCGGCGGACGGGUGAGUAACACGUGGAUAACCUACCUAUAAGACUGGGAUAACUUCGGGAAACCGGAGCUAAUACCGGAUAACAUGUUGAACCGCAUGGUUCAACAGUGAAAGACGGUCUUGCUGUCACUUAUAGAUGGAUCCGCGCGGCAUUAGCUAGUUGGUAAGGUAACGGCUUACCAAGGCAACGCUGCGUAGCCGACCUGAGAGGGUGAUCGGCCACACUGGAACUGAGACACGGUCCAGACUCCUACGGGAGGCAGCAGUAGGGAAUCUUCCGCAAAGGGCGAAAGCCUGACGGAGCAACGCAGCGUGAGUGAAGAAGGUCUUCGGAUCGUAAAACUCUGUUAUUAGGGAAGAACAAAUGUGUAAGUAACUAUGCACGUCUUGACGGUACCUAAUCAGAAAGCCACGGCUAACUACGUG